rnacentral:rRNA from 1 species
GACGAACGCUGGCGGCGUGCUUAACACAUGCGAGUCGAACGGAAAGGCCCUUCGGGGUCCUCGAGUGGCGAACGGGUGAGUAACACGUGGGUGAUCUGCCCUGCACUUUGGGAUAAGCCUGGGACACUGGGUCUAAUACCGAAGAGGACCGCGCGCGUCAUGGUGUGUGGGGGAAAGCGUUUGCGGUGUGGGAUGGGCCCGCGGCCUAACAGCUUGUGGGUGGGGUAAUGGCCUACCAAGGCGACGACGGGUAGCCGGCCUGUGAGGGUGACCGGCCACACUGGGACUGAGGUACGGCCCAGACUCCUACGGGAGGCAGCAGUGGGGAAUCUUGCCCAAUGGGCGCAAGCCUGAUGCAGCGACGCCGCGGGAGGGAUGACGGCCUUCGGGUUGUAAACCUCUUUCACCCGGAACGCAGCGGAAGUGACGGUACCUGGAGAAGAAGCACCGGCCAACUUCGUG